UACAGAGGUCUCAAGCGUUGUUCGGAUUCAUUGGGCGUAAAGGGUGCGUAGGCGGCGCGGUAAGUCGGGUGUAAAAGUCUUGGAGCUUAACUCCGAAACUGCAUUCGAUACUGCCGUGCUUGAGGACUGGAGAGGAGAAUGGAAUUCCUGGUGUAGCGGUGAAAUGCGCAGAUAUCAGGAAGAACACCCGUGGCGAAGGCGGUUCUCUGGGACGGUACUGACGCUGGAGACGCGAAAGCGUGGGGAGCGAACAGG
rnacentral:rRNA from 1 species